AGAAAAAAGCCAAAAGCUGAAUGUGGGAACAAUCAUCACUGAGCGAAGAAGUUUGUUUGUGUAGUUCUUUCUUUCAGACGUGUGUGUGCGCGCGUUAGCGUUGUCAUCACAAUCCAUCGAUUGGUGUGGCAAAUCCAAACGGCGUCGUCGUCGGCGGAAGAUGUCUACGCAGCAGCAGCAAAUGCAGAACAGUGGCGGCGGCGGCGGCGGCAGCGGCAGCAUGGGUAUCCCAGCGAGCGAGGUUUUCUGGACUCUCGCCGAUAAAGCCGACAAAAAGUUCUCCAAAAUCAGAGACAUUCCUUUUUACCAGCGCAGCAGGCAUGAUACAUACUUUUACAAGGUGUUCAAGGUUUACACACAGCUAUGGAAGUUUCAGCAAGAGAAUCGGCAGAAGCUAGUUGAAGCUGGGCUUAGGAGAUGGGAAAUUGGUGAGAUUGCAUCUCGCAUUGGGCAACUGUAUUUUGGGCAGUACAUGCAAACAAGUGAUGCAAAUUAUCUGUCAGAGUCAUAUAUAUUCUAUGAGGCCAUAUUGACUCGGGAGUAUUUUAAGGAGGGAAUGUUUCAGGAUGUGAAUAUUGCAAACAAACAAUUGAGGUUUCUUGCUAGAUUCAUAAUGGUGUGUUUGGUUUUGAAUCGGAGGGAAAUGGUACAGCAAUUGGUUAAUCAGCUUAAAGUAUUAGUUGAUGAAUGCAAGAGAGCAUUCCAGGAAAGUGACUUUAAAGAAUGGAAGCUGGUGGUUCAAGAAAUAGUCAGAUUUUUAAAAGCUGACACUGCUUUUAUGAAUCUCAGGCCCUUAAGAUAUAGUCUAGUUUUGGACCCUCAUCCUGAUACCUUGCCACAUGUUCCUGCAGCCAUUACAAAGCGACAUUUGAAACUACGAGAUGCUGUAUUAAGUAGCUUCCAUCAAAAUGAGGUAAAGUAUUCAGAGCUCACGAUGGACACUUUUAGGAUGCUUCAAUGUCUGGAGUGGGAACCUAGUGGCUUAUUUUACCAGUCCAGUGGUUCAAAACUUGGUCAGAAUGGGGCUACUGGGACUAGUCGCAUUAGUUACAUCCAAGACAUUGCUGACCCUACUUUACCAGCAAAUCCACGGAAAGCUGUAUUAUACCGUCCUGCACUGACACAUUUUAUAGCUGUUCUUGCCACAAUAUGUGAGGAGCUUCCUUCUGAUGGUAUUCUCCUUGUGUAUUUGUCAGCUUCAGGAUAUUGUAGUUCUCCUCAGAAUGAAUCUGGUUGCAUACACCUUGGUUGUCAUGGAGAGAGAGGAUCAAACUGCAUAUAUCCUUCUGACUUUCUACCAUUUACUAGAAGACCACUUCUUUUAGUCAUUGAUAAUGACAACAGCAACGCGUUUAAGGUCAUAGCAGACGCAGAAAAGGGAGAGACAGUUGCAAUGCUCCUUUCACCAAGCUGUUCUCCUGCUGUGUCUGACUGCUCACAUCAUCCAAAUGGGAGCCUAUUCACCAUGUUUCUUACAGCUCCGCUGCAAGCUUUCUGUCUUCUGAUUGGACUUUCAGACACUGAUAUUGAUGUGGACACAUUCAACAAAGCUGAAACGAUACUCACAACUUCACUAAAUACCUGGGGGCUAGCAUUGGCAAUAUCAGACACACUUAAUCCUGUUUGGGGGCAGGUUUUAGGUGAUCCCUUCAUUAGGAGGCUUAUUUUGAGAUUCAUGUUUUGUCAUGAAGUGUUGACCCUAUAUGCACCAGUUUACAAAGAGAACAAAUUCCUUCCGACAUGUGUCCCUGCUCUUCCGAUGCCUGCCAUGCCUCCAACUUACUCGUAUGAGAGUGUAAUUCUGAAUAUAGCCAGCAUGUUUGGUGCAACUAAGCAUUUCAUCUUCUCAGAGGAUGUUUAUCAACCUGAAAAAUUAGAAGUCGACAUGAAUGAGUUGACUCUAUGAAGAUAAUUAAAAGCAUCAUCUCGGAGGCAUUAAAAUGUAUACAGAUUGUUUGUAUAGCAACUAAAAACAUGAAUUCUGUCAAUAUUUUUACUUUUCUGGUUGUGCCUUUGACAAGAGAAUGUCUAACGUGGAUUCAAGCUCAUGUUCAUUACAUGGCAAGUUGCAUACUCCUGAAGAAUGGAAUUGAACAAAGGAAGAAAGUUUGAUAUAGGGAUCGGUAUUGUUGUGAAGAAACCUUGUAUUUUUUUUUUCACUACAACCAAUGUCAUGAUGCUUUAAUGUUUUUCUACUCAAAUUCUUCGUUAAUGUUUUUCUACUCAAAUUCUUCUUUAAUGUUUUUCUCAAUGAAUAGAGAAUGUUUGCGUUGGUAUCA